rnacentral:misc_RNA from 1 species
GCACCAAGUUAGGGCAUGCAUAUAUUGCUGCACGAUAAUUUAAGUAUAAGACAUAUCUAAAACACAAUGCAAUACAGAGGACUUAUCUAAAACAUGUGUCUUACUAUAUUCAUUACACCAAUCAAUUAUUCAAUAAAUUAAAUUGACUAAUUAGUCAGUCCUCAGUCUCGAGCAUAGAGACAAGACAUAAUAACUUCAUCAAGAGACAUGUCUUAGAUUUUUUUUACAUUUAUCACCUUAGACGCGUCUGAAGACACAGCUCAAAACACACAUUAUAUAUGCUCUUAAUAUCAUUUGAUGCAUUAUGAAAUAUAUUUUCAUGAUUUGUUUUUUUCUUUUAUGCAGUAGAGCUAAUUUUUCUACGUGUUAAUUUAUUUUCCAGUAGGGGCUAAUCUCCUCCCCACCCCACUCCCUGAUCCUUAAAAAGCACUGCCAUGUAUAUCUGCCGCCAAAUUUUGUCACGAUCAUGGCGAUGCCUUCUGCUCAAGUUCUAUGGGCAGUCCGUGCAGCGGCGAUGGCAUGGGGUCCCUGGCGAAGGUAUCGUUCUUGCAGCAGAGCUUCCACCUAAACCGCCUGACAAGGUAAUGCAUCGUCACCAGCGUCUCGAUCCUGGCGAACUCCAUGCCGACGCAGAUCCUCGGACCCCCGCCGAACGCGACGAACGAGCACGGCGGCGCCGAUGCCGCCGACUGGUUCUCGAACCGGGACGGGUCGAACUUUGCCGGCUCGUGGAAGAUGCCCGUGUCCAUGUGCGUCACGCUCGCCGCCCAGAACACCUGCCAUCCUUUUGGGAUGAGGUAGCCGUCGAACUCGAUGUCCUGCAUCGCUCGCCGGAAGUUGCCGAAGAUGGGAGGCACCAAGCGAAGGGUCUCCAGCGCGACGCGCCACGUGUACUUCAUCUUCGCCAGGUCCUCCCAGUCCAGGGUCUGGCCGUCGCCCUUGUUCUUUGCGAUCUCGUCGUGCUCUGCGUCGCCACCGGUGGCAGCUGUCAUCUCAAAGCAUAGCGCUGACGACGUGGGAAGGGUGCGUUCUAGUUGGGUUUCUCACCUUGGACCAUGGCGGCGAGGGUGUCCGGGUCGUUGGCGAGGUGGCGGACCAUGAACGUCAUGAGAAUUGACGACGUGUCGUGACCGGCGACGAGGGCCACCAUGGAGUUGUCCACGAUCUCCUCCUCGCUCAGCAGCCGCGCGCCGCUGUGGUCGGUCAGACUGAGCAGGCACGCGAUGAGGUCGCUGCUACGGGAGGCCUCGCCCCUUUCCAGCUUGGCCCUGGUCUCCCGCGCGAUCCCCGCGAUCAGCCGGCGAGCCCUGGCGCUGGCCCUGAGGCUCCGGCUGAACGCCGUGAACGGCAGGUUCACCGGGACGGCCCAUAUGCCAUCCAUGACGCGGGCGAAGUCGCCCGCGAGGGCGUCCUGGAGCGGGCUCCGCUCGAGGCCGAAGAGCAGCAGGGAGAUGAUGUCGAACGUGAGCCUCUUCAUGUGCGGCAUCACCGUGACGGUGCAGCGGCCGGCCCAGCACUCGUCGAGGUGGCGCCGAACCUCGCCGUCGAUCUUGCCCACGUACAGCCUCAGCAUGUCCGGCUUGAGGAACUCGACCAGCGCGCCGCGGAUCCGCUUGUGGUCGGCGCCCGUGAGCUCCAGGAUGCUCUUGUCCCCCAGGAUCCGCUGCACUGACCGAGGCUGCUGCAUCGCUAAGGCGCUGCUGAAGAAGAUGAACCUGUUGGCCGCCGACCCCGCGACGAGCACCGUCGGCCUGCCGAACAGCGACAGCUUGGACACCGGACCGUACCGGUGUAUCCGGUCCAGGAUCCACCGCUCGGCAGUGUUGGCGCGCAUGGCGCGGAGAAGACCGAUGCUCUGGCCGAUCACCGGCAGGCCAAGGGAGCCCGGCGGCAGCUUGGCCGCGGCCGGCCGCCAUGGCGUCUUUCCCCUCUUUAGGAGAUGGAGGAGCACGGGCAAGGCGACGGCGAUAAGCGCUAGGACAAGAGAAGAAUCCAUUGGAGAUGUCAGAUGUUGGUGGUGCACACUGCACAGCAGCAGGCUGUUAUGCUUUGUGUAUGUGGUUUAUUUAUUUAUGUGUAUGGGAUUUGUCUUCGAAUUUUUCUGCAAUGUUGUUCCUGGAUGCGAGGAAGUCAAGAGCAUCGCAUGCGCGGAUGCCG